AUUGAAUGAUUUCAUACGACUAUCUGGAUUUCUGGCUUCUCUUGAAAACUGAACAUCUGGUUUCACCUUCCCUCCUGGCUGGGAUUGUGGCUGCCAUCCCAUUUUAGAUGGGUCACCCUUUCUCCGGUUUUCAACAUUCCCCAUCACUGCGUAUAGCUGUACUGUUCAAUAAGGUCAUGGGUGAAAUUGAAAUUCCAGACCGCCCUUCUUCGUGGCAAACCUUUAGAAAUUAGAUUGUACUAGGUCAGUGCUUCUGAAACCUGAAUGUGAACCCCUGGGUGAGAUUAUGAUUCAGUUGGUCUAAGGUGGGACCCACAAAUCUGCAUUUUGACACGUGCCAAGAAGAGGCCAGUGCUGCUAGUCCGGGACCAUACUCUGAAAGACUGUAAACACCAUGUGAAUAGAGAUGACUUCUGUCUACUUCCAUGAGCUCUAGAGCAUCCACAAGCUCCUUACACAUGAGACGAUCAGAGCAUCAGUGGCAACUGAAUGAGACAUGCCAGUUUGGGCUCAGGCUCCAAGAGGACACAUCCAAGUACAUCUCCACGACCAGGAGGUUCAUGCGCUUGGUCCUCUGUGCGUUAAGGGAGCUUGGGCAUUUAUCCAUGACUUUGCACACCUGGUACCCAAGCUGUGAUUUCAGGAUUCUAGGUCUUCAUCUGGAGCAAAGCUGGAGUGUGACUCCAGGGGCCCAGGAAGGCCAAUCUUCAUCCUAAGCCUCUGUAAGAAUAGGGCCAACUUGAAGCUAGUAUGUGUAACUCCGUGCAUUUUCUCCAGAGACGCUGGAACCAUAGGCUUGGCCAAAAAAAGAUGGGAUGUACUAAUCAGUGAUUUAUAACAUGCUGUCAGAAGUCCAAAGCUGCCUGGAGGUGCCCUGUACCAACUUGCUACAUAGUUUAUUGGAAAAACAUAGAUGGAUGGUUGGCACCUGGUUUCAGUUAUUAUGCCUGGUUACUUAGACUGGUUUGGGCUAUGUGACCAGAGGGAAAUAAGAUGAACAUAUGCCUUGGCUUCCCUGAGGCCCAGUUCUUCCCCAUGCACUAGGGGGUUCACGAUGCAGAGGCCGAACCAGUCCCGUGCGACUGAGGGGGGCCUUAGCAACUGCUCGUGGAUGCUGUGGAUCUUCCUGAAGUUGCUCCGAGUUUUCUUACUCUUAUUGUUCUGUAUCCUUUGCCUGUAAUAAAACCAUUCAGGGCCAGGUGCGAUGGUUCACGCCUGUAAUCCCAGCACUUCGGGAGCCCAAAGCAGAAGGAUUGCUUCAGCCCAGGAGUUCAGAACCAGCCUGGGCAACAUGGCGAGACUCUGUCUCUCUUUGAAAUAUAAAAAAAAAAAAAUUGAAAAGAAAAACCUUUCAGACCUUUUACUUUGUUGGAGUCUUGUGAGUCCUUUUGAUGAUCUGACCCAGCAUGAUUGCUGCAACCUCUCUUGAUGCUCGGCUCUAGUUCCUGGCAGUUUCCUCUUGACAUCCAGACUGUAGAAUCUUCAGGGCUCAUGGGCUCUGGCCCCUGCUUCUUAAGGAGGAGAAGGUGGAGCCAUGGGGACCUAACCCACAUCUCAUGGAGGUGACGGCAGGGCAGUGGAGCCUCAGCCUGAAGAUGAAUUGCCUAUAAUCACUGAGCAAGUUAGACGGGAAGAAAAUAAAUAUGACUUAUAAACCCAUUACCCAGAGACAACAAUGGCCCGCAUUGUAAUACACCAUCUUUUAGCCUGUUUUCUCUACAUAUAUAUUUACAUAUAAUUGAGAUGUAUUGAACACACCAUUUGAUAUCCUACUCUUUACCUCAACUUUGCAUUAUAAGCAUUAGCUGACGAUUUUUAUAAAGACUCCAUUUCUUCAUUUGUAAAAUGAGAAUAAUAGUA
ensembl:lncRNA novel transcript